CCUCUUGAGCUGCUUGCUUGGCCCACUCUCACUCUGUGGAGUGUACAUUUGUUUCCAUAAAUCUGUGCUUUUUUUUUCAUUGUUUUGUUUGUGCAUUUCAUCCAAUUGUUUGUUCAAAAUGCCAAGAAUCUGGACACCCUCCACCAGUAACAGGCAAGAAGAGAAUAGAGGCAAAGCAAGCCACUCCAGAAGUCCUCUAGCCAGCUUUGUCUUUAGUUUGAUGGCCAGAGGUGGGCCAUAUGGACACUCUGUAGCUGCAAGGGUGCUGGGAAAGCGAGUAACUUCUGAGAAUGGCAGGAGAUUUGGAAUGAUUCAUGGAUUGGCCAACAGUCUCUGCUACUUGAGGCUAAUGGUUACACAAGAUUUAACCUUUAACCAGACAUCAACAAAUUUUUGAGGGCCUAUUAUUCAUACUCCAAAAUAAAUACGAAAGUCAGGGAUCCAAGAAGGCUCUUUCAAUUCCCAGAAAGGGGAUAAUAUAUAUGCUAUAUUCCAUAGUACAUAGUGGAUAAAGAAAAACAAUAUACUAUAUUUUUUGUGGUAUUUUGAUCCUCUGCUCGUUUACCUGCAGCAAUUAUCAGUAAAAAAAAAAUAAAAAUAAAAAUAUAAAAAUACUUUUAAGAAAAGGAACUUGAGCAAAUGCCUUUGAGGAAAUAAAAACAGUAGAGUUAGAAAAA
rnacentral:lncRNA from 1 species